rnacentral:rRNA from 1 species
GGAUUAGAUACCCGGGUAGUCCUAGCCGUAAACGAUGGAUACUAGGCGUUGUGAGUAUCGACCCUCACAGUGUCGUAGCUAACGCGUUAAGUAUCCCGCCUGGGGAGUACGCGCGCAAGCGUGAAACUCAAAGGAAUUGACGGGGGCCCGCACAAGCGGUGGAGUAUGUGGUUUAAUUCGAUGCAACGCGAAGAACCUUACCAGGGCUUGACAUGUCGCGAAUCUCAGGGAAACUUGAGAGUGCCUUCGGGAGCGCGAACACAGGUGGUGCAUGGCUGUCGUCAGCUCG